AACGAACGCUGGCGGCAUGCCUAACACAUGCAAGUCGAACGAGACCUUCGGGUCUAGUGGCGCACGGGUGCGUAACGCGUGGGAACCUGCCCUUAGGUUCGGAAUAACUCCCCGAAAGGGGUGCUAAUACCGGAUAAUGUCUUCGGACCAAAGAUUUAUCGCCUUUGGAUGGGCCCGCGUUGGAUUAGCUAGUUGGUAGGGUAAAAGCCUACCAAGGCGACGAUCCAUAGCUGGUCUGAGAGGAUGAUCAGCCACACUGGGACUGAGACACGGCCCAGACUCCUACGGGAGGCAGCAGUGGGGAAUAUUGGACAAUGGGCGAAAGCCUGAGCCAGCAAUGCCGCGUGAGUGAUGAAGGCCUUAGGGUUGUAAAGCUCUUUUACCCGGGAUGAUAAGGACAGUACCGGGAGAAGAAGCUCCGGCUAACUCCGU
rnacentral:rRNA from 1 species